GAUGAAGAACGUAGUGAAAUGCGAUAAGUAAUGUGAAUUGCAGAAUUCAGUGAAUCAUUGAAUCUUUGAACGCACAUUGCGCCCGCCAGUAUUCUGGCGGGCAUGCCUGUCUGAGCGUCAUUUCAACCCUCAGCCCCCGCUCGCGGGGCGCUGGCGUUGGGGAUCGGCCGUCCUCGCGGCGGCCGGCCCCGAAACACAGUGGCGGUCUCUCGCGGACUCCCCUGCGUAGUAGCACUACCUCGCAGAAGGGACGAGCGGGCUGACCACGCCGUAAAACCCCCCACUUCUCCAGGUUGACCUCAGAUCAGGUAGGAAUACCCGCUGAAUUUAAGCAUAUCAAUAAGCGGAGGA
rnacentral:misc_RNA from 1 species